GAAAGAGAAAACCAUAUGAAAAAAAGACACAAAUUUCUAAAAAAGCAUCCUGUCUUUGAAGAGUGGCAAAUACUAUUCUGUUUUUGAGUACAGAAAUAGAUCCAACUUGGAAUUAUAAAACAGAAUGUGCCUCAUCACUUGGACUUAACCAUAUGACUGGCUUUGACCAAUAAAAUAUAAGUGGAAAUUCUACUAUGCUACUUCCAAGAAAAGUCUUAAAGAAGUCUGGAAAAUUUCCACAUCUCUCUAUACAUGUCCUCUGUCCCCAAUCAGAAGAAAACAUACUAGGAAGUUGUUAAUUCUUUAGCUCAGAUCCUGGAAUGAAGACACCUGGAGUAUACUUGAAAGUCUGAAGUCCAGCUGACCCCCAGCUCAAAUUAGUGAAAGUACAGUCCACCAGCCAACCUGUGAGCAGUAAAUAAAUAUUUGUUUUAAGUUACUAUAUUCAGAAUAAUUGUACCAAAUUUAUCUCAAGUUAUCAGUUCUCCAGGGAUAGUAUGACAGCUACUUGUUGAGACCUUGGACACUUUUAUCUUUUAGGCACAAUAUAUUUAACUGACUUUCAUCUUCAAGCAAAGAGUUGUUCUCCAAAUGGCAAUUGGAAUUUGCAGCAACCUGAGUGAGGAGAGAGAUAAAUUGAAGAAUUGUUAGGCAAAAAUGAACCAGAACUUGAAGACUUGGAAAAUUACCAGCCUAUUUAUAUUGCAAAAUAAUAUCAAAGAAUUUUGGGAAGAGAACAUCAAGGAUAUUGCUGGGCUACAAAGAUCUGCUAGAAAGAUUACAGUUAACAGGUGUAUCAAGCACGUAUAAUGUGCCCAUCAUGGU
rnacentral:lncRNA from 1 species